rnacentral:rRNA from 1 species
GACGAACGCUGGCGGCGGGCUUAACACAUGCAAGUCGAACGGAAAGGCCCUUCUUUUGUUGGGUGCUCGAGUGGCGAAAGGGUGCGUAACACGUGUGUAACCUGCCCUUGACAUUGGGAUAGCUUCACGAAACGGGGGCUAAUACCGCAUAAGAGCUCCUGCUGCAAGGUGGUGGUUGUAAAAUUUCGGCGGGUGGGGAUGGACUCGGCGGUUAGCAGCUUGUUGGGGGGGUAGUGGCUUACCAAGGCUUUGAGGGAUUGCCGGCCUGGGAGGGUGACCGGACACACUGGGACUGAGACACGGCCCAGAAGCCUAAGGGAGGCAGCAGUGGGGAAUGUUGCACAAUGGGCGGAAGGCUGAGGGAGCAAAGAAGCGUGCGGGAUGACGGAAUUCGGGUUGUAAACCGAUAUCGCAUGUGACGAAGCGUAAGUGACGGUAAUGGGUAAAGAAGCAACGGCUAACUACGUG